AAAUUGAAGAGUUUGAUCAUGGCUCAGAUUGAACGCUGGCGGCAGGCCUAACACAUGCAAGUCGAACGGUAACAGGAAGCAGCUUGCUGCUUUGCUGACGAGUGGCGGACGGGUGAGUAAUGUCUGGGAAACUGCCUGAUGGAGGGGGAUAACUACUGGAAACGGUGGCUAAUACCGCAUAACGUCGCAAGACCAAAGAGGGGGACCUUCGGGCCUCUUGCCAUCAGAUGUGCCCAGAUGGGAUUAGCUAGUUGGUGAGGUAACGGCUCACCAAGGCGACGAUCCC
rnacentral:rRNA from 1 species